UUUUCCUACGGGACGCAGCAGUAGGGAAUCUUCGGCAAUGGACGAAAGUCUGACCGAGCAACGCCGCGUGAGUGAAGAAGGUUUUCGGAUCGUAAAACUCUGUUGGUAGAGAAGAACGUUGGUGAGAGUGGAGAGCUCAUCAAGUGACGGUAACUACCCAGAAAGGGACGGCUAACUACGUGCCAGCAGCCGCGGUAAUACGUAGGUCCCGAGCGUUGUCCGGAUUUAUU
rnacentral:rRNA from 1 species